rnacentral:rRNA from 1 species
GUAAUGCUUAGGAAUCUGCCUAUUAGUGGGGGACAACAUCUCGAAAGGGAUGCUAAUACCGCAUACGUCCUACGGGAGAAAGCAGGGGACCUUCGGGCCUUGCGCUAAUAGAUGAGCCUAAGUCGGAUUAGCUAGUUGGUGGGGUAAAGGCCUACCAAGGCGACGAUCUGUAGCGGGUCUGAGAGGAUGAUCCGCCACACUGGGACUGAGACACGGCCCAGACUCCUACGGGAGGCAGCAGUGGGGAAUAUUGGACAAUGGGGGGAACCCUGAUCCAGCCAUGCCGCGUGUGUGAAGAAGGCCUUUUGGUUGUAAAGCACUUUAAGCGAGGAGGAGGCUACCGAGAUUAAUACUCUUGGAUAGUGGACGUUACUCGCAGAAUAAGCACCGGCUAACUCUGUGCCAGCAGCCGCGGUAAUACAGAGGGUGCAAGCGUUAAUCGGAUUUACUGGGCGUAAAGCGCGCGUAGGUGACCGAUUAAGUCAAAUGUGAAAUCCCCGAGCUUAACUUGGGAAUUGCAUUCGAUACUGGUUGGCUAGAGUAUGGGAGAGGAUGGUAGAAUUCCAGGUGUAGCGGUGAAAUGCGUAGAGAUCUGGAGGAAUACCGAUGGCGAAGGCAGCCAUCUGGCCUAAUACUGACACUGAGGUG